rnacentral:rRNA from 1 species
UACGUAGGGGGCAAGCGUUGUCCGGAAUUAUUGGGCGUAAAGAGCUCGUAGGCGGCUUAGUAAGUCGGCGGUGAAAUACCGAGGCUCAACCUCGGCACUGCCGUCGAUACUGCUAUGGCUAGAGUUUGGUAGAGGAGAACGGAAUUCCCGGUGUAGAGGUGAAAUUCGUAGAUAUCGGGAGGAACACCAGUGGCGAAGGCGGAGACCUGGGCCGAUACUGACGCUGAGGUGCGAAAGCGUGGGGAGCAAACAGG